rnacentral:lncRNA from 1 species
GAGAAGAGGAUGCUUCAAAGUGUUCUUCCACCCUAUCUGCUUGGUUAUGUCCUACUACUAGUACUACUACAACUAAAAGUACUAAUGUCACAUCUACAUCUAGUACUGAAACUAGACCAAUAAUUGCCUCAGUCCCAGGAAAUGAGAUUGAAGAGGAAGUUACAGCUCAAGAUAACGCUGAAGAAAGUAUUGAUGAAGAAGUAACAUGCCUAGGGCUAGGGCAUCAACAAGAAAAUUGUGCCAAACCUCCAACAAGUCCUACGUCAAGCAGUGAACUGAUCGGCGUAAAUGAUCAAGUGGAAUGUAGCCGGACGAAUAAAAUUAAUGAAACUUGUUUAAACACCGGAGAACCCCAUUUUCCAGACCAGAUCAUCGAUCCAGAGGUGAAAAAACGAAUUAUUGAAUUAGGACUAGGACCCUAUCAACCAGUUGGCCCAUUUCCAUAUGAUGGAAAACAAGGUAGGUCCUUUUCAGACAAUUAUUUUACCCUGAAGUCAAAGUCU